rnacentral:rRNA from 1 species
GUGCCUAAUACAUGCAAGUCGAGCGAACAGAUGAGAAGCUUGCUUCUCUGAUGUUAGCGGCGGACGGGUGAGUAACACGUGGGUAACCUACCUAUAAGACUGGGAUAACUCCGGGAAACCGGGGCUAAUACCGGAUAAUAUUUUGAACCGCAUGGUUCAAUAGUGAAAGACGGUUUCGGCUGUCACUUAUAGAUGGACCCGCGCCGUAUUAGCUAGUUGGUAAGGUAAUGGCUUACCAAGGCGACGAUACGUAGCCGACCUGAGAGGGUGAUCGGCCACACUGGAACUGAGACACGGUCCAGACUCCUACGGGAGGCAGCAGUAGGGAAUCUUCCGCAAUGGGCGAAAGCCUGACGGAGCAACGCCGCGUGAGUGAUGAAGGUCUUCGGAUCGUAAAACUCUGUUGUUAGGGAAGAACAAAUUUGUUAGUAACUGAACAAGUCUUGACGGUACCUAACCAGAAAGCCACGGCUAACUACGUGCCAGCAGCCGCGGUAAUACGUAGGUGGCAAGCGUUAUCCGGAAUUAUUGGGCGUAAAGCGCGCGUAGGCGGUUUCUUAAGUCUGAUGUGAAAGCCCACGGCUCAACCGUGGAGGGUCAUUGGAAACUGGGAAACUUGAGUGCAGAAGAGGAGAGUGGAAUUCCAUGUGUAGCGGUGAAAUGCGCAGAGAUAUGGAGGAACACCAGUGGCGAAGGCGGCUCUCUGGUCUGUAACUGACGCUGAUGUGCGAAAGCGUGGGGAUCAAACAGGAUUAGAUACCCUGGUAGUCCACGCCGUAAACGAUGAGUGCUAAGUGUUAGGGGGUUUCCGCCCCUUAGUGCUGCAGCUAACGCAUUAAGCACUCCGCCUGGGGAGUACGACCGCAAGGUUGAAACUCAAAUGAAUUGACGG